rnacentral:misc_RNA from 1 species
CUAACCUUCUGAACUCUCCGGGUCAAGGCAACGAGUCUGCUCUUCAAUCGGCGCGCACGUUCCAAGUUUAAUGUACUGAUCUUCGAUGUCAGUUCAUCUAGUAAUGGGUAUGCUUCAAUUUCUAGUUCUGCUGCCUGAGAAUCAAGGAAAGUACAGGCAGCUUCCAAAGCAACUUCAAGAGCCCUAAAUUCGAAGGGCAAAUAAUCAGGGGAUGGGUUCCCAUAGACAUAGUCACAAUUCCUACUUCUCCUUCUAUUCAAGUCAGCACCAUCUGACUGCCAAACCUCCCCUACUCCAGCUGUUUGCAACCGCCUUUGUAGCUCCACCACAUACUGCAAUACAUAACUAUCAAGGGAAUUCAGUAGCAGAACCUCGUCAGCUGUAACAGUAGCAGAACCUCGUCAGAUAAUACAUCGAAUCUGCUCCAAAUUCACAACUAUGGCCUUCUCUCUACCAAGAAUUGUUGAAGGGUAAACAAACAGAGGAUCAAGCAAACGUAGAUCACGAGCAGGUAGAUCACAACGACGCAUCAUAGUGAAUUUGUCAACCUCAAUAACCUGAGAGUUCCCAAAAGAAUCAACACGAAUCCAAGACCGCAGUCCUUGGCCACGCUUCUUCAAACCCAAAACAUCAACAGCUUGAAAAGGUUGGCGUCCAGAGGCAGAUGCUCUAUAAGAAGCAUCUCUUAGAUUUAUAGCAGA